CGUGCCCGGCGGGGCAGCACCUCUCUGCAGCCCGGGGGCCCUGUUAAAACGCGCCCGGCCGGCCGGCAGCGCCUCAGUUGUACGCCCGCUGCUGGAAGAACCCGACGGUCACCUCUGUUCGCCUCAGCGCACCGCGAUGGCUCGGACUCUGCUUGUUCUCGUCCUGGUGGCCAUGCUGGUGGCGAGUGAGGCGGCCCCCCAGAGAAGGUUCUUCGGCGGCCGGCGGCGCUUCAACAACAACCGGCGCCGCUUCCAGAGGCCCAGCAGCUUCGUUAACAGGUUCCGUCCUAACCGCUUCAACAAUUUCAACAACGGCGGCUUCAACAGCGGCGGUUCGAACACACAGGCCAACGCCAACGUCAUUCAGGGCCAGCAGGGCAACACCGGCAUCACCCAGGUGAACGCCAAUGUCGUCAACCAGAACCAGAACAACCCAAACGGUGUGUCGCUGUCCGGAGGCAUAGCGCUGGCCAGCAACCUGCAGCUCAACAGUCCCUUCGGCAACAUCAACCUCUCCAACGCGCAGGCGCAGACCGUCAACCAGGGACAGAGCUUCGGAAACUUCUUCCAGAGAGGCUAGCUACCGUUUGUCAGGUGUGUGUUGGUUGAGUGCUGGUGUUGAAGAUGUGUGAAGGACCUAUGUGAGCCCGCUAAGCUCACAGCUCACUAAGUGAGUUCCGCAGCUCAUUGUCAGCCGGCGCGGUGUAACAGGAAUGUAGAUUUAAGUACAAAACGGUGCUCACGCAGUGCACUUAUGUCGUCUGUCGACUGCGACUGUCGUAUCAUCUCAUUUCACGAGGUACCGAAAUGUGUAACACUGGCGCAAUUUAUGCGCAAUGGAAUAUAAUAAUGACGACCAAUCUAAAAACAUUAUUCUACGGUAUAUGCUUAUAUUAAUGACAUUUCAUCUAAGCACGCUGCGCAUUAUUUAAACGAAUAAACAUCUACCCUCCU